rnacentral:rRNA from 1 species
AGAGUUUGAUCAUGGCUCAGAGUGAACGCUGGCGGCGUGCCUAACACAUGCAAGUCGAACGAGAACGGAUUACAGCUUGCUGUAAUUGUCAGCUAAGUGGCGCACGGGUGAGUAAUAUAUAGUUAAUCUGCCCCAAAGAAGAGAAUAAUUGUUGGAAACGACUUGUAAUGCUCUAUAUGCCUUUAAGACAUAAGUCUGCAAGGGAAAUAUUUAUAGCUUUGGGAUGAGACUGUACGGUAUCAGCUAGUUGGUGAGGUAAUGGCUCACCAAGGCUAUGACAUCUAACUGGUUUGAGAGGAUGAUCAGUCACACUGGAACUGAGACACGGUCCAGACUCCUACGGGAGGCAGCAGUGGGGAAUAUUGCACAAUGGAGGAAACUCUGAUGCAGCAACGCCGCGUGGAGGAUGACACAUUUCGGUGCGUAAACUCCUUUUAUAUGAGAAGAUAAUGACGGUAUCAAUAAUA